UACCGCGGUUAUACGAGCGACCCAAGUUGAGAGACAACGGCGUAAAGAGUGGUUAAGAUACUAAUUAAACUAAAGCCGAACGCCAUCAAGACUGUUAUACGUUUUUGAAGGUAAGAAGUUCUACCACGAAAGUAGCUUUACUAGCCCUGACCCCACGAAAGCUGUGAAA
rnacentral:rRNA from 1 species